AUGGAAGUAGUUGGAGGAAAACUCAUCCGACUGGAAAGACGGGCCGGAGGAAAAGUAAGCAUCCUGGGGACCGCACAGGUACGGCGGCCUGGGCUGGGGGAGAGGAAAGGGCCGGGGCGGCGGGGGCGUGGGCAGCAGGGGGUAGCACCUGGCGCGGGGGGGCGCGCGUCCCCGCACAGGGAACCCGGGGCGGGCCCUGACACACGUGCUCACGUGGUCGCGCCGGGGCAGCUCCACCCCCCAGGCGUCGGCCAAGUGCGCCAGCAGCAGCUGCGACAGGUGGCGGUGCGCGCGCUCGUCCCAGUGCACCCCGUCGCGCUGCAGGUGCUGGCCCGCGUGGCGGAAGUGGAAGUGCAAGUCCAGCACGUCGAAGCCGUGCCUCUUGGCCUCGGCGGAGCUGUAGAAGUUGGCUUCGAUGACGCGCUCGAUGAGGGAGCCGUCGCCGGGCUGGUGGUCGGGCGGCAGGAAGCCCGCAGUGAUCUGCUUGCCCACGGGCAUGGCCGUGUUCCAGACCAGGAGGCACGACUCGGGCAGGACCUGGCCCAGGCGCCGGAACAGGCUCGCCAGGUUCUCCCGGUAGCUCCGCCAGGAGUCAGGGCCAUACCUGGAGAGGUCCCAGAGGCAGGAGUUCAUGAUGACCACGUCCGGGGGGCCGUGCUCGCUGCCCUGCAGCUCUUGCAGGACGCUCUCAAGGUAGCUGGAGUACACGCGCGUGAGGAAGUAGAAGCGCACCAGGUGGUGGGCGUCGCAGAACUGGCGGACCUCCCGGUACUGGACGCCGUUGUGCAUGGGGCCCAUCUGGCCUCCGUCCACCAGCUCGUCCUUCUCGAACGUCUCCUCCCCCUUGGCCUUGAGCUGGUUGGUCGUGAGCAGGCAGUCCUUCUGCAGCAGGAGCACCAGGUCCUUGUACACGGCCCUCUGGACGGAGUCGCCCAGGAUGACCACGAACUUGUUAUGGAGCAGCUGCUGCACUUCGGAGGCCUGCAGGUGGACCAUGACGCCCCGGGCGCGCGGCCUAGGUCUGUCCUUGACACGCGGUGGGUCUGCAGACUGCUGGGACACAAGAGAGAGCGGCUGGGAGGGCCCCACCCGCACCCUGGGCAGGCCGUCCGCAAGCCCAGGCCUCGGGGAAGGGGAUGGAGGGUGGGCCUGGGGAGUCCAAGAGCAAGAAGGGAGCCGGAGCCCCGAGCCCUGCUUGGCCUGCUCUGCCGGGCCUCCCCUUGA
rnacentral:lncRNA from 12 species